UUCUACACAAAAAUCACUGUUCAAAGAAGAAAACCAACAAAACAUGAAUUUCACACAAAAACAUAACUCAAUGAAUAUUACUGCAAAUCAAUGUGACUUUUGCUGUUGCCUUUCAGAGACGAGUUCUGAAAUGCGCGGCUUCACCUUGGCAAGUGCCACUCUCAUGUCAUUUUCACAACAAAGUCUGUUCCUUUUCUUAGUUUUCAUGUCCUCGAAAAGGAUUGCUCGCAAAGAUACGUUGUAACAAACGGUGUGAGUAUCUCGAGGGCUUUCUUGGCAAUAAGAGGGUAUGAUACGAUUUGGUGACACCAAAACGUUGAGAGCGUUGCUGUUCUGAAGAGUUGCUGUUGAAGCUGGUUCUGCUGAAGUUCAAUGAUUUCAUCGAGUUAUUCAUCUUUGACAUCUGCUGUCGCAACACUAAACGUGAACGGCUGUCUCACCCAUGUUGGAUGUGACUCUCUGGUAGGGAAGUAUCCGUCGAGAGACUUUGCGAGCUCAUCUAAGUGCACGGCAAUUGCUUGCUUCAGCUCCUCAGGUACAGAAACGUCUCCAAUUCCAGACACGUCUUCGAUCUUACUCACACAGUCGUCCAGCAGGGGAAAGUUUGCGGCGUUAUCAUUCUCUUUUCGUCGUUUCCAUUAAGGUAGCUUUUUAAUUUUUUUAAACGCCUUCAGGUUUUUCUUCUGCUUCGAUGAUGUUGACUCCACCGCCCCUGCAUCUGGCGAUCGAGAUAAUUGAGAGCAUCGAAAAUAUCGGCCAUGUACGCCAAAAUGAGAAUGAACUCAGAAUUUUCGAAGCAAUCUGCGUGACAAUGUUGGUAUUCUCGCCAAAAAUUCCACACACAUGGCAAAAACACGAUUCAGCACCUUUUCCCGGGAUAACCACCGAACGUUAGAAUGGUACAGAAGUACCUCGAAUUCAGAGCCCAUUUCCUUACACAGCUCUUUGAAGAUGCGGUGCUUCAUAGCACUAUUUUCGCACGUAGUUCACACAUUCAACUACAAUUUUUAAUACUUCUGCAAGGUUUUCGUUGCCAACUCAUGCCUGUGAAGAACACAGUGCGUAACAAUGAUGUGUGGUGCAUCAGAUUUCACCAGAGCUCCAAAACCAGAGUGUCGUCCCAGCAUGGCUGGAGCUCCGUCCGAACAAACUGCAGAAACCAUAUUCCACGAAAGAUCGUUGUCUCUGAAGAAGUCAUCCACGAGUUUCUUCACAUCGACUGCCUUGGUUGUUGUUGUAAUCCAAAAUCUUCCUUUAUCUCGUUGUCUUUCAUAUAGCGCACAAAUACAACAAGCUGGCUUAGAUUGGAAACAUCGGUGGUCUCAAGUCAAGUUGGAGGCUGAAUUUUGCUGGGCUUGAAAUCAGAUCUGCAACUACUUGAGCGAAGAUGUCAUCGCUCAUGUCGUCUAUUCUGCUGCUGAUAGUGUCAUUUGAAAGAGGAAUUUGGGAUAACUUAUCUUCAGCAGCUGUUCCCAGCAUGAUAUUCGCCAUCUUCAACGCAGCUGGUUUUUCACCAAUGGUGUGUGGUUUGCCCUGCUUUGCGAUCAGGGUACGCAACUUCGUACGAUGCUAUGAGGAUCGGUUUGUUGACAGGCGAAUCUUUCGCUUCGCUCUAUUUAUUCCAUUCACGUCUGUGCAUUGACUUGGCAAUUUUUUUGGUGUGAACGCAGCAUAACACAGCGAAGAAAAAUGGCGUGUUGCUAAAAUGUCGGCAGAUCAUUUUUUGACGACCGACAAACAACGACACGAAAAUUGCUAGCGUGAACCUGGCUAUACUGUGUGUGUCUUGACCCUUGCCGAACCCCUGAGAGUGACUCGCCGAACCCACCUUAAGAACCACUAGUCUAGAUGAAGAACAGACUGAGAGAUAUGAGAUUGGAUCUCACAGUUUCUAACUGGGAGAGGAACUCAACAUAUUUAACACAGAAAGAAAACGUGGCAAAGUAAUGCCUGUCCGUGCAAGGCCAGGCCGUGCUACAGACACUAAUUACUAAUAAUACUACUUAAUAAAACAACAUCCUUAUCACUAAACCUUGAUAACAAAUGUAUGGUUUUCUGCAGCAUUCACGUGCAAACUUUAAUGCAAAGUAAUAAACUAUUCUCAGAAUUUGACAUUUACAUAAAACAGAGAAGCAGUAAACGAUCACGAGAAACUGAGUGUUUGGCAUUUUUGCUUGAAACAUUAUUAAUUAUGUCAGUCGACUUUUGGCGGUAUUUUAGCUCUCAAAUUCAAUAUUUAUAAAAUGUAAAAGAUAUGCUUAAAACACGUCAAAGAACGCACCGCUUUGCAAACGAUGACGCAAGCUGCUCGUCUUUCCUUCUGAGGUUGCGAACUUUCCGACUGCACAUGAAGGCAGCGCGGCGUCCGACUGGAUGCGAACACAGACCGCCACAAAUGGACGUCCGCGAGUGCGUGUUAUCGGCGGGCCGAGCCGUGCUGGACGUCGUGGAGCGAGAGUGGCAGCCCCUGUCUCCGGGCGAGCUGGAGCAGCGGCUGGACCAGGCGGUGGAGGAGAUCCUGGAGGCGGAUCUGAUGGCUCCACAUAAAGCUCGGCCUCCGCCCGCGAGCGGCGUUCAGCUGCUGCCGAGUCGAGCGAGCGCGGAGCCCCAAGUUUUACCGACGGAAACGUGCUUCAGUCCCCCGGAGGAAGAGGACGCCGGAGCCCCGAGAACCGAUGGAGACCGUUGACGGUGCAGCAGUCAAGUACAUCACAGAUCUGCUUCAAAACUCUGAGUCCAGGGCUCGGAUGGCCGGACGGGCCCGCUUGUCCCUGUCCCACACCGUCCAGCUGUCCCUCACUCUGCUCUCUGAGCGCGUCAGCUACGCUCUGUAUCCCGCCGCUUCCACCUGGAGAAAGGAAACAUCCACAGGAUCUUCUUUUCUUUCUGCGAGCGCCUCAACAUGCUGCAAGAGAAGCAAAUCCGGUGGCCAGUCGGCGGGGAGGCUGUGAAGCCCUCUUUCCACUUUGCGGCCCAGAGAAGGAGCAGCAAGGUGUCCCUCGGGUCCUGGGAGUGUUGGGACACACGCGCAUCCCGAAUCCGCCUGCCAAUAGGGAAGCAUGACGUGGAGAGCACGGUGCCUGAAGUGAAGAGGAUGAAGAAGGAGGCCCAUCCCGACUCCUGGCUGAACCUGCAGCUCGCAUGCGACCGUAAAGGCCGGUUCCUCCACUGCAGAACCGGUAGAGGCCUCAGACAUGGACAGAGGCAGCGCUCUGAGGGACAAACCUCGAGCAGCAGCCUGAACUGAUGCCCUCUGGCUCCUGCCUCGUGGCCAGAGCCGGCUACCCGCUCACUGCUCAGAUUUUAACUCCAUACUCGAGAAGUAUCGGACCGAGAGAGGAGCUCUUCAACGAGAUGCUCGAGGAGCAUUUUCACAUCUUGGACCAGGCUGUUGCCAACCUGAAAGCCCGAUUUAAAAGGCUCCGGUAUCUGGAUAUCGGAAACUACGAGCGAGCGAGAGCUGUUGUGCUGACCACCUGUGUCUUGCACAACAUGUUUUUAGACUUGGGACAGGUCGUUCAGGGGGACAUUGAGAAAGAGGAAGCCACAACCCGAGAGGGGGAGUUGGAGAUGGAUGACGAGGGUGUACGCAGACGAGACACCAUCUCAGAUUUGUUGUUUAAAAUGUUUGAAUCUGGAAGCGUGUGAUGUGACGAUGUCUGCUGGGAAAUGGCUCUUUUAUAUAAAAGUUCAUCUUCACAGAAUCUCUAUUUUCUGGGUCUCUCAUUACGACUGUCGGAUAACGGAUAGGUUUGCUUUUGAAGCAUUGUUAUUACUGUAAUUAACCAUCAUGGAGAUGACAAAUGAUGGUAUUUGACUAAGAGAAAUAGAACAUUAUCACCCCUUGUUACA